rnacentral:rRNA from 1 species
AUUGAACGCUGGCGGCAUGCCUUACACAUGCAAGUCGAACGGUAACGCGGGGCAACCUGGCGACGAGUGGCGAACGGGUGAGUAAUGCAUCGGAACGUGCCUGGUAGUGGGGGAUAACUGCUCGAAAGAGCAGCUAAUACCGCAUACGACCUGAGGGUGAAAGGGGGGGAUCGCAAGACCGCUCGCUAUCAGAGCGGCCGAUGUCGGAUGAGCUAGUUGGUGGGGUAAAGGCCCACCAAGGCGACGAUCCGUAGCUGGUCUGAGAGGACGACCAGCCACACUGGGACUGAGACACGGCCCAGACUCCUACGGGAGGCAGCAGUGGGGAAUUUUGGACAAUGGACGCAAGUCUGAUCCAGCCAUGCCGCGUGCGGGAAGAAGGCCUUCGGGUUGUAAACCGCUUUUGUCAGGGAAGAAAUCUUCUGAGUUAAUACCUCGGGAGGAUGACGGUACCUGAAGAAUAAGCACCGGCUAACUACGUGCCAGCAGCCGCAGUAACAC